rnacentral:rRNA from 1 species
GUGGGGAAUAUUCCGCAAUGGACGAAAGUCUGACGGAGCAACGCCGCGUGAGUGAUGAAGGUUUUCGGACUGUAAAGCUCUGUUGUUUAGGACGAAAGUGCCUGUUGCAAAUAGUUACAGGUAUUGACGGUACUGAACGAGGAAGCCACGGCUAACUACGUGCCAGCAGCCGCGGUAAUACGUAGGUGGCAAGCGUUGUCCGGAAUUAUUGGGCGUAAAGAGCAUGUAGGCGGGAAUCUAAGUCUGUUGUGAAAAUGCGGGGCUCAACCCCGUAUUGCGAUGGAAGCUGGGUUUCUUGAGUGCAGGAGAGGAAAGGGGAAUUCCCAGUGUAGCGGUGAAAUGCGUAGAUAUUGGGAGGAACACCAGUGGCGAAGGCGCCUUUCUGGACUGUGUCUGACGCUGAGAUGCGAAAGCCAGGGUAGCGAACGGGAUUAGAAACCCGUGUAGUCC